rnacentral:rRNA from 1 species
CGGCGACCGGCGCACGGGUGAGUAACACGUAUGCGACCUGCCCCCCGCAGGGGGAUAACCGGGAGAAAUCCCGACUAAUACCGCGUAACGCCGCGGACCUGCAUGGGUCUGCGGCCAAAGGAAGCGAUUCCAGCGGGGGAUGGGCAUGCGGCGCAUUAGCUAGUCGGCGGGGUAACGGCCCACCGAGGCGACGAUGCGUAGGGGUUCUGAGAGGAAGGUCCCCCACACUGGUACUGAGACACGGACCAGACUCCUACGGGAGGCAGCAG